rnacentral:rRNA from 1 species
UACAGAGGUCUCGAGCGUUGUUCGGAUUCAUUGGGCGUAAAGGGUGCGUAGGUGGCGGGGCAAGUCAGGUGUGAAAUCCCGGGGCUCAACCCCGGAACUGCAUUUGAUACUGCCUUGCUCGAGUACUGGAGAGGAGACGUGGAAUUUACGGUGUAGCAGUGAAAUGCGUAGAUAUCGUAAGGAAGACCAGUGGCGAAGGCGAGUCUCUGGACAGUUACUGACACUGAGGCACGAAGGCCAGGGGAGCAAACGGG